GGGUAGGUACUGAAGUGGUCAAACAGGGCAGACUGUAAAUCUGCUGGCAUCGCCUUCGAAGGUUCGAAUCCUUCCCUACCCACCA
rnacentral:tRNA from 1 species